rnacentral:rRNA from 1 species
CCUACGGGAGGCAGCAGUCGAGAAUUUUUCACAAUGGGGGCAACCCUGAUGGAGCGACGCCGCGUGGAGGAUGAAGGCUUUCGGGUUGUAAACUCCUGUCAUUUGGGAACAAGGUGCAUCGAUUAACUGUCGAUGCAUUGAUAGUACCAGAAGAGGAAGAGACGGCUAACUCUGUGCCAGCAGCCGCGGUAAUACAGAGGUCUCAAGCGUUGUCCGGAUUUACUGGGCGUACAGCGCGCGCAGGCGGGUGGUGACGUGCCGUGUGACAAGCCGCAGCUUAACUGCGGAGGGCCAUGGUAGACGCACCGCCUGGAGGCAGGGAGAGGGAUGUGGAAUACCCGGUGGAGCGGUGAAAUGCGUAGAGAUCGGGUGGAACACCAGCGGCGAAGGCGGCAUCCUGGUCCUGACCUGACGCUGAGGCGCGAGAGCGUGGGGAGCGA